GACGAACGCUGGCGGCGUGCUUAACACAUGCAAGUCGAACGGAAAGGCCCUGCUUGCAGGGUACUCGAGUGGCGAACGGGUGAGUAACACGUGGGUGUCCUGCCCUGCACUUCGGGAUAAGCCUGGGAAACUGGGUCUAAUACCGGAUAGGAGCCAUUUUUAGUGUGAUGGUUGGAAAGUUUUUUCGGUGUAGGAUGAGCUCGCGGCCUAUCAGCUUGUUGGUGGGGUAAUGGCCUACCAAGGCGGCGACGGGUAGCCGGCCUGAGAGGGUGGACGGCCACAUUGGGACUGAGAUACGGCCCAGACUCCUACGGGAGGCAGCAGUGGGGAAUAUUGCACAAUGGGCGCAAGCCUGAUGCAGCGACGCCGCGUGGGGGAUGACGGCCUUCGGGUUGUAAACUCCUUUCGCUAGGGACGAAGCUUUUUGUGACGGUACCUAGAUAAGAAGCACCGGCUAACUACGUG
rnacentral:rRNA from 1 species